CAACAAAUGAAUACGGUACCUCAUAUAUUUCAUGAGAAUAUGGCUCGAAGUUUCUACCCAGCACCGUAAAUGCUGGACUAUGAGGGGAGAUGAAUCAUUG
rnacentral:ncRNA from 2 species